GCUGUGUUGGCAGAGAAGUGCGUUAAAUUUAAGCUUUAAAGAAUGCGGUGUUUUAGCCGCACACAGCU
rnacentral:tRNA from 1 species